CUGACUGUUGACAGCUGCCUACCGAGGUUGAUGUAUUCAGAAGCCAGUAGGGAUGCGGACAAAGAACGAAUGUAAAAAUCGAGUAUCCAAACUAUAGUUAAGGCCCAGGACUUUUUUCACCUCCCAAAGGACCAAGACCCCGACCCAGACCCUGGCGACAUUUUCCAUAUCGUUCGAGACCCCAUUUUGAGCAGAUACCCAUACAAUGGACUUAAAAAUUCUCUUUCAACACUCAACGAACCCGAUGCCCCACACCUCCACAGCUCCACUCCGGAUGCGAUUCGCAGUGCUAAGCAUGCAAAAGGCAGAGUCGGCUCACAAUCGUCAGGCGUAUGAGCAAUCCUUUUAUGGUCUUAAUGCGAUUGAUGGUCCAGGGUCUCGUCUUCAGUCUCUGGGUUUCAGAGUCUCAGUUUCGGCGUGUUUGACAGCCGCCGACGGACAAGAGACAACGGACAGAGGACAUCGGACAACGGACAAGGAACAACGGACGCAGAUUGAUGGAUCCCGGCAUUAAGCGGAUGAUGUAGGAGACAAUGAUAAUUUUUCGUUAUUGUAUUCCGGUGAAGCAAAAAUUGUUGUGCCAGAAAGCAAGUGGAAUAACUUUAAUAAAAUCGAAAAUCGCAUAA